GGCACGGUGGCUCAGUGGUUAGCGUGUUUGCCUCGCACCUCCGGAGUCGGGGGUUCGAAUCCCUUCUCCUCCA